GACGAACGCUGGCGGCGUGCUUAACACAUGCAAGUCGAACGGUGAAGCGCCUUCCUUUUUGGUGGGUGUGGAUGAGUGGCGAACGGGUGAGUAACACGUGAGUAACCUGCCCCCUUCUUCUGGAUAACCGCAUGAAAGUGUGGCUAAUACGGGAUAUUCUGGGUCUGUCGCAUGAUGGGUCUGGGAAAGAUAUUGUUUCGGUGGGGGAUGGGCUCGCGGCCUAUCAGCUUGUUGGUGGGGUGAUGGCCUACCAAGGCGGUGACGGGUAGCCGGCCUGAGAGGGGGGACGGGGAGACGGGGACUGAGACACGGGGGGGACGACUCGGGGGGGCAGCCGGGGGGAGUAGGGGGCAGUGGGCGGAAGUGUGAUGCAGCGACGCCGCGGGAGGGAUGGAGGCUGGUGGGUGGGGAAGCUCUUGCGAGAGUGAAGCAGGCCGGCCGCGGUUGAGGGUGGGGUGACGGGAGAUGGAUAAGAAGCGCCGGCUAACUACGUG
rnacentral:rRNA from 1 species